GAGAAGGCUGAAGCGGCGGAGUAGGGUAAGAAAGAGAGCGCUGAUGAUGAAGGUUAGAAAAUUGGUCUUGAGAGUACGGAACUUGAUUUGGAUGAUGAGGAGGAUGAUAAGGAUGAUGAAAUGGCGCGUUCUGGAGUGGGUAAGAGAAAGGACCAGUGGGAGGUGGGUAAGAAGAAGAAGGAGGCGGAAAUGGAGGUGAAUUCAUGAGGGUAGGGUUUUGGGAGGUCGGCGUAGGGUUUGAAAUGGCGGGUUUAAAGAAUUUCUGAACAUCAAAUGGUGGGUUCGUUGGAUUUGAGUUUGGAUUCCCAGGGGAAGCCAUGAACAAUCAGCUGAAUUCUUCAAAACCCAGAUCUGUAAUUCUUCGGUUUCAGAUCAAUCCG
rnacentral:misc_RNA from 1 species